GACGAACGCUGGCGGCGUGCUUAACACAUGCAAGUCGAACGGUGACCUGGGGUGCUUGCACCUUGGUGAUCAGUGGCGAACGGGUGAGUAACACGUGAGGAACCUGCCCCAGACUCUGGAAUAACCCCGGGAAACCGGAGCUAAUACCGGAUAUGACAUCAGGCCGCAUGGUCAUGGUGUGGAAAGUUUUUCGGUCUGGGAUGGCCUCGCGGCCUAUCAGCUUGUUGGUGAGGUAGUGGCUCACCAAGGCGACGACGGGUAGCCGGCCUGAGAGGGCGACCGGCCACACUGGGACUGAGACACGGCCCAGACUCCUACGGGAGGCAGCAGUGGGGAAUAUUGCACAAUGGGCGAAAGCCUGAUGCAGCGACGCCGCGUGAGGGAUGACGGCCUUCGGGUUGUAAACCUCUUUCAGUAGGGAAGAAGCGCAAGUGACGGUACCUACAGAAGAAGCACCGGCUAACUACGUGCCAGCCGCCGCCGUAAAAC
rnacentral:rRNA from 1 species